AUUGAACGCUGGCGGCAGGCCUAACACAUGCAAGUCGAACGAGUGGCGGACGGGUGAGUAAUGUCUGGGACACUGCCUUAUGGAGGGGGAUAACUACUGGAAACGGUAGCUAAUACCGCAUACCAUCAUCUGUCCCCAGAUUGGAUUAGCUUGUUGGUGGGGUAACGGCUCACCAAGGAGACGAUCCCUAGCUGGUCUGAGAGGAUGACCAGCCACACUGGAACUGAGACACGGUCCAGACUCCUACGGGAGGCAGCAGUGGGGAAUAUUGAACAAUGGGCGCAAGCCUGAUGCAGCCAUGCCGCGUGUAUGAAGAAGGCCCUCGGGUUGUAAAGUACUUUCAGCGGGGAGGCGUUAACCGAAGAAGAAGCACCGGCUAACUCCGUGCCAGCAGCCGCGGUAAUAG
rnacentral:rRNA from 1 species